CUCCAGACUCCUACGGGAGGCAGCAGUGGGGAACAUUGCACAAUGGGCGCAAGCCUGAUGCAGCCAUGCCGCGUGUAUGAAGAAGGCCUUCGGGUUGUAAAGUACUUUCAGCGGGGAGGAAGGCGAUAAGGUUAAUAGCCUUGUCGAUUGGCGUUACCCGCAGAAGAAGCACCGGCUAACUCCGUGCCAGCAGCCGCGGUAAUACGGAGGGUGCAAGCGUUAAUCGGAAUUACUGGGCGUAAAGCGCACGCAGGCGGUCUGUCAAGGCGGAUGUGAAAUCCCCGGGCUCAACCUGGGAACUGCAUUCGAAACUGGCAGGCUGGAGUCUUGUAGAGGGGGGUAGAAUUCCAGGUGUAGCGGUGAAAUGCGUAGAGGUCUGGAGGAAGGCCGGUGGCGAAGGCGGCCCCCUGGACAAAGACUGACGCUCAGGUGCGAAAGCGUGGGGAGCAAACAGGAUUAGAU
rnacentral:rRNA from 1 species